rnacentral:rRNA from 1 species
UAUGGCGACCGGCGCACGGUGAGUAACACGUAUCCAACCUGCCGAUGACUCGGGGAUAGCCUUUCGAAAGAAAGAUUAAUACCCGAUGGCAUAGUUCUUCCGCAUGGUAGAACUAUUAAAGAAUUUCGGUCAUCGAUGGGGAUGCGUUCCAUUAGGUUGUUGGCGGGGUAACGGCCCACCAAGCCUUCGAUGGAUAGGGGUUCUGAGAGGAAGGUCCCCCACAUUGGAACUGAGACACGGUCCAA